rnacentral:rRNA from 1 species
ACAUUGUGCUUGCACAGAUGACGACCGGCGAACGGGUGCGUAACGCGUAUAGAAUCUACCUCUUACUAAGGGAUAGCCCAGAGAAAUUUGGAUUAAGACCUUAUAGUAUAUAUGACUGGCAUCAGUUUUAUAUUAAAGAUUACGGUAAGAGAUGACUAUGCGUCCUAUUAGCUAGAUGGUGUGGUAACGGCACACCAUGGCAACGAUAGGUAGGGGCCCUGAGAGGGGGAUCCCCCACACUGGUACUGAGACACGGACCAGACUCCUACGGGAGGCAGCAGUGAGGAAUAUUGGACAAUGGAGGCAACUCUGAUCCAGCCAUGCCGCGUGCAGGAUGACUGCCCUAUGGGUUGUAAACUGCUUUUAUACAGGAAGAAACCAUCUCACGUGUGAGAUCUUGACGGUACUGUAAGAAUAAGGAUCGGCUAACUCCGUGCCAGCAGCCGCGGUAAUACGGAGGAUCCAAGCGUUAUCCGGAAUCAUUGGGUUUAAAGGGUCCGUAGGUGGAUAAUUAAGUCAGAGGUGAAAUCCUGCAGCUCAACUGUAGAAUUGCCUUUGAUACUGGUUAUCUUGAGUUAUUAUGAAGUAGUUAGAAUAUGUAGUGUAGCGGUGAAAUGCAUAGAUAUUACAUAGAAUACCAAUUGCGAAGGCAGAUUACUAAUAAUAUACUGACACUGAUGGACGAAAGCGUGGGGAGCGAACAGGAUUAG